rnacentral:rRNA from 1 species
AGUGAACGCUGGCGGUAGGCCUAACACAUGCAAGUCGAACGGCAGCACAGUAAGAGCUUGCUCUUACGGGUGGCGAGUGGCGGACGGGUGAGGAAUACAUCGGAAUCUACUUUUUCGUGGGGGGUAACGUAGGGAAACUUACGCUAAUACCGCAUACGACCUACGGGUGAAAGCAGGGGAUCUUCGGACCUUGCGCGAUUGAAUGAGCCGAUGUCGGAUUAGCUAGUUGGCGGGGUAAAGGCCCACCAAGGCGACGAUCCGUAGCUGGUCUGAGAGGAUGAUAAGCCACACUGGAACUGAGACACGGUCCAGACUCCUACGGGAGGCAGCAGUGGGGAAUAUUGGACAAUGGGCGCAAGCCUGAUCCAGCCAGACCGCGUGGGUGAAGAAGGCCUUCGGGUUGUAAAGCCCUUUUGUUGGGAAAGAAAAGCAGCAGGUUAAUACCCCGCUGUUCUGACGGUACCCAAAGAAUAAGCACCGGCUAACUUCGUG